rfam:Schistosoma margrebowiei strain Zambia genome assembly, scaffold: SMRZ_scaffold0001120
ACACUGCCGAGGAGUCUCAGAAUAAGACGAAACGGCCGUCCAGUGC